AGAUUGAACGCUGGCGGCAUGCCUAACACAUGCAAGUCGAACGGCAGCACAGCAGUAGCAAUACUGUGGGUGGCGAGUGGCGGACGGGUGAGUAAUGCAUCGGGACCUACCUGAACGUGGGGGAUAACGUAGGGAAACUUACGCUAAUACCGCAUACGUCCUACGGGAGAAAGCGGGGGAUCUUCGGACCUCGCGCGGUCAGACGGACCGAUGUUCGAUUAGCUAGUUGGUAAGGUAAUGGCUUACCAAGGCGACGAUCGGUAGCUGGUCUGAGAGGACGAUCAGCCACACUGGGAUUGAGAACGGCCCAGACUCCUACGGGGGGCAGCAGUGAGGAAUUUUCGUCAAUGGGGGCAACCCUGAACGAGCAACGCCGCGGUGCAGGAAGAGGUUUCGGAUCGUAAACUGCUUUUCGUCGGGAAGAGAACGGACGGUACCCGAGGAAUCGACGCCCCGGCUAACGUACGUGCCAGCAGCCGC
rnacentral:rRNA from 1 species